rnacentral:lncRNA from 1 species
UCAACAAAACCUAAUUUUCAUCAUGAAAAACUAGGAAGUAGGAGUGGUCCGAGAAGGUGGUCAGCGAGCUGGAGUGAUCUGAGAGGUUCGAGAAGGUGGCCGACGAACUGGAGAGGGAGAUGGAAGUGAGGCGGCGGGUUCACGAGUGAGGGACCGAGAGGGAGAAAGUAGAAAGUAGAAAAUAGAAACUAGGGUUUGCAAAGUAAUUCUAAUUUAUCUAUUAUUUUUAAUUUUUAAUUUUUAAUAUAUAUAAUAUUAUUAAUAAAAUAAAUAUAAAAAAUAAAUAAUAUAUAUUAUAUAAAAUAGAUCUACAGGUCGGAUUUGGGUCGGAUCCGGAUCUCAAAUUUCAAGAUCCAAAUUCAGAUUCGUUUUAAAAAAUGAGAUCCAAAUCCGCGGAUCCAAAAAAUUGAGAUCCAGGUCCGUAAAACAGAUCUAGAUCCACGAAUCUGGACCGGGUCCAGGAUCCAUUGCCAUCCGUAAACAUAUCAUAAGCAGCUAUAAAAGGAAAGCAAGGUCCCCCCAAUAUUUCAAACAUAAACAUUUAAAGAGCGAAAAAGAAGAAGAGAAAAUAUGGAUUAUUUUCCUCUUCUGGCUGCACUCUUUUUCAUCAGCGCCGCAACAUGGUUUAUCUCCUCCCGGCGGCGGAGUAACCUCCCACCGGGGCCAUUCCCGUAUCCGAUCGUCGGAAACAUGCUGCAGCUGGGGGCCCAACCCCACGAGACAUUCGCCAAACUGUCAAAGAAAUACGGCCCGCUGAUGUCGGUCCAUCUCGGCAGCCUGUACACCGUGAUCGUGUCCUCGCCGGAGAUGGCGAAAGAGAUCAUGCUGAAAUACGGGACGGUGUUCUCCGGCAGAACGGUGGCGCAGGCGGUGCACGCGUGCGACCACGACAAGAUCUCGAUGGGGUUCCUCCCGAUCGGGGCGGAGUGGCGCGACAUGCGCAAGAUAUGCAAAGAGCAGAUGUUCUCGCACCAGAGCAUGGAAGACAGCCAGGGCCUCCGCAAGCAGAAGCUGCAGCAGCUGCUCGACCACGCCCACAGAUGCUCCGAGCAGGGCCGCGCCAUCGACAUCCGCGAGGCCGCCUUCAUCACCACCCUCAACCUCAUGUCCGCCACCCUCUUCUCCAUGCAGGCCACCGAGUUCGACUCCAAGGUCACCAUGGAGUUCAAGGAGAUCAUCGAGGGCGUCGCCAGCAUCGUCGGCGUCCCCAACUUCGCCGACUACUUCCCCAUCCUCCGCCCCUUCGACCCGCAGGGGGUCAAGCGCAGGGCCGACGUCUACUUCGGCAGACUGCUGGCUCUAAUCGAGGGCUAUCUCAACGACAGAAUCCAAUCCAGAAAGGCCAACCCCGACGCCCCCAAGAAGGAUGACUUCCUCGAGACGCUCGUCGAUAUUCUCAACUCCAACGACAACAAGCUCAAGACCGAUCACCUCCUGCAUCUCAUGCUCGACCUCUUCGUCGGGGGUUCGAGACGAGCACCACCGAGAUCGAGUGGAUCAUGGAGGAGCUCGUGGCGCACCCGGACAAGAUGGCCAAGGUGAAGGCGGAGCUGAAGAGCGUGAUGGGGGAUGGAGAAGGUGGUGGACGAGUCGCUCAUGCCCAGGCUGCCGUAUCUGCAAGCGGUCGUCAAGGAUCCAUGCGGCUGCACCCGCCGGGCCCACUCCUUCUUCCUCGCAAGGCGGAGAGCGAUCAAGUCGUCAACGGCUACCUCAUCCNUAUAUAUAUAUUAUAAAUAUAAUUCAGUUUUCGGUUUGUCGGUUUUAAAAAAUCCGAACCGAACCGAAUCGAAAACCGAAAUUUUAUGAAAAAAAAUUGAACCGAACCGAAAACCGAAAAACCGAACCAUAUUUUAAAAUUCCGGUUUGGAUCGGUUCGGUUAUUCGGUUUCAGAUUUUUUGCUCACCCCUACAGAAAAUGCAAAGCCUUUCCACCAAUUUCGUUCCAUUCUUAUACAAUAAAAUAAACUUAGAUUAAAAGAGUCAAAAUUGGUAGGCAUAAUGUGGGGACCAUGACCCCUACAUAAAAUAACGUACCUAGGGAUGGCUCUAUCUGACCUAGGGAUGGCAACAAGCCAUCAAUAUCAGAUCUAGAUCGUGGAUCUAAAAAUUUAGAUUCCAUGAUUUUACAUUUUUAAAUAAAUUAAAAAAAAAUUACAAAAAUUCCACAAAAUUUAAUUUUUCAUCAUGAAAAACUAGAAAGUAGGAGCGGUCCGAGAAGGUGAUCAGCGAGCUGGAGUGAUCUAAGAGGUUCGAGAAGGUGGCCGACGAACUGAAGAGGGAGAUGGAAGUGAGGCGGCGGGUUCACGAGUGAGGGACCGAGAGGGAGAAAGUAGAAAGUAGAAACUAGAAACUAGGGUUUGCAAAGUAAUUCUAAUUUAUCUAUUAUUUUUAAUUUUUAAUAUAUCUAAUAUUAUUAAUAAAAUAAAUAUAAAAAAUAAAUAAUAUAUAUUAUAUAAAAUAGAUCUACAGGUCGGAUCAGGGUCGGAUCCGGAUCUCAAAUUUCAAGAUCCAAAUCCAGAUUCGUUUUAAAAAAUGAGAUCCAGAUCCGCAGGUCCAAAAAAUUGAAAUCCAGGUCCAUAAAACGGAUCUAAAAUCCACGAAUCUGGACCGGAUCCAGGAUCCAUUGCCAUCCGUGAUAUGAUUAGUUCCGUAAACAGUAUACAUAAGCAGCUAUAAAGGAAAGCAAGGUCCCCCAAUAUUCAAACAUAAACAUUUAAAGAGCGAAAAGAAGAAGUAGAAAUAUGGAUUAUUUUCCUCUUCUGGCUGCACUCUUUUUCAUCAGCGCCGCAACGAUGGUUUAUCUCUUCCCGGCGGCGGAGGAACCUCCCACCGGGGCCAUUCCCGUAUCCGAUCGUCGGAAACAUGCUGCAGCUGGGGCCCAACCCACGAGACAUUCGCCAAACUGUCAAAGAAAUACGGCCCGCUGAUGUCGGUCCACCUCGGCAGCCUGUACACCGUGAUCGUGUCCUCGCCGGAGAUGGCGAAAGAGAUCAUGCUGAAAUACGGGACGGUGUUCUCCGGCAGAACGGUGGCGCAGGCGGUGCACGCGUGCGACCACGACAAGAUCUCGAUGGGGUUCCUCCCGAUCGGGGCGGAGUGGCGCGACAUGCGCAAGAUAUGCAAAGAGCAGAUGUUCUCGCACCAGAGCAUGGAAGACAGCCAGGGCCUCCGCAAGCAGAAGCUGCAGCAGCUGCUCGACCACGCCCACAGAUGCUCCGAGCAGGGCCGCGCCAUCGACAUCCGCGAGGCCGCCUUCAUCACCACCCUCAACCUCAUGUCCGCCACCCUCUUCUCCAUGCAGGCCACCGAGUUCGACUCCAAGGUCACCAUGGAGUUCAAGGAGAUCAUCGAGGGCGUCGCCAGCAUCGUCGGCGUCCCCAACUUCGCCGACUACUUCCCCAUCCUCCGCCCCUUCGACCCGCAGGGGGUCAAGCGCAGGGCCGACGUCUACUUCGGCAGACUGCUGGCUUUAAUCGAGGGCUAUCUCAACGACAGAAUCCAAUCCAGAAAGGCCAACCCCGACGCCCCCAAGAAGGAUGACUUCCUCGAGACGCUCGUCGAUAUUCUCAACUCCAACGACAACAAGCUCAAGACCGAUCACCUCCUGCAUCUCAUGCUCGACCUCUUCGUCGGGGGUUCGGAGACGAGCACCACCGAGAUCGAGUGGAUCAUGGAGGAGCUCGUGGCGCACCCGGACAAGAUGACGAAGGUGAAGGCGGAGCUGAAGAGCGUGAUGGGGGAUGAGAAGGUGGUGGACGAGUCGCUCAUGCCCAGGCUGCCGUAUCUGCAAGCGGUGGUCAAGGAAUCCAUGCGGCUGCACCCGCCGGGCCCACUCCUUCUUCCUCGCAAGGCCGAGAGCGAUCAAGUCGUCAACGGCUACCUCAUCCCGAAGGGGACUCAGGUGCUCAUCAACGCGUGGGCCAUGGGCAGAGACUCCACCAUCUGGAACAAUCCAGACGCCUUCCAACCCGAACGCUUCCUCGAUAACAAGAUCGACUUCAAAGGCCAGGAUUACGAGCUCAUUCCCUUCGGGUCGGGUCGGCGGGUCUGCCCCGGCAUGCCCCUCGCCAACCGCAUGCUGCACACCGUCACCGCCACGCUCGUUCACAACUUCGACUGGAAGCUCGAACGCCCCGAUGCGCCCCUCGCCGAGCACCAGGGCGUGUUGUUUGGCUUCGCCGUGCGCAGGGCUGUGCCGCUCAGGAUCGUUCCGUAUAAGGCAUGAUGUGAUUCACGUAUGCGUGCGACAUGGAUGGCAAAUAAAUUUGGCGGCUCAUAGCGCCGUCACCAAUGAUUAGUCUACUUAUAUGUGUACUAAAUGUUUUUUCAUUCAUGACCAAUAUAUAUGUUAGAUGUUUUAUAUAUGUUGAAUUUAAAUUUUACGUCCUAUAAAAUGUAAUGUCAUGGGAAUUGUUUGUGAGCUAGUUUGAGUAAAUAAUUAGCACACUGCGAGUGUACAAGUGCAAAUUAAUGUGCAAUUAUGUAUAUUAGAGAGCAAGAUCGUAUGUGUAAAGACCGGAUGAAAUUGAACAAUAAAAUACUACGUACUUAUGAUAAUAUAGAAAAUAGUUAUCAUACCGGUGAUCGUCGUUUACCACCUAAUAAUUCCUGCAAUCAUAAUUAGAAUAGUGUAGCAAUAAGUAGGGUCACAGAUUGAUUAAUAAUCUCAAUUUUGAUUAAUAACUUAGAAAAAACAAGUAAAAUAGCAAACAAGAUUUAAAUCAAGAAUAAAAUAUUUCAAAUAAAUUCACACUCGUCACUAGUCUGCUCAUAGACACAAAUAUAAAUUAAUCUCAUGGAUACCGUGAAUGCAGCGGACAUAGCCCAAUUCUUAUUAUUUAUCGAUAGUUAGUUGUAGAUACCAGAUCUAACUUUUCCAUUAUUAAAGCACAACCUAGUUGGAAACGUCAAAUCUAGAUUUAAUGUUUCAAUAGCAACAAAUUACCCAAGAAACCAAGUAAUAAUUCUCUACCAAUUUUUAUUACCUACAGCCGAUACAAUAGUUUUGUCACUAAUCAGUCCGAUUCCAACAAUUAUGGAUUGGAGAAAAUAAUUACACUAAUUGAAUUAAUCUAAGGUGAUCAGACUAAAAAAAAUCAUAUUAAAACUUUCUACUCAGGAAACAAAUCAAAAUCAAAUAAAUUAAUAAACAAUUAGGUCUUAUAUAUUUUAAACUGAUAUUUCAUUAUUCUUAUCGAAUUUAGCUACUCAUGUUAUUAAAAUUAAACGCAAUAAAAUAUAAAGAAAAUAUAAUUAGAUAUAAGCAUUAAGAAAAUCAAUUGAUACUUAUUAGCGAAUCAAAAAUUAUUUAAUUGUAGAACUUCGUUGAGCAUCAAAACAUGAAUAAACCAAAAAUCACAAAUUCUCGUCCAAAAGCUUUCAGCCAGCCACACGUUCGCGGCCAUUUAAUUUCUUUAUUUAAUAUUAUAAAUUUAUAUAUAUAUAUUUAAAAAAUCCACUGUUCAACCGCCAAUCCCUGUUACAUCCUGACCUCCUUGCCAAGAAAGCUCCCCAAAUAUAUAUCGUUUAAUGGGCCAAAAGGCUCCCAUAAUAUAUUUCAUUUAAUGGGCCAAAGUAAUACUCCAAAUCAAAUUCUUAGCCCAAAUUAACGACACCUUUGUGGUUUUAAUUAUAAAUAAUAAUAAUAAUAAUUUUCGAAUUUUGCAUCAACUUCUCUUUUUCUUCUAAUUUCUUUCACUCAACUCCAUCAACAUCGAACUUUUAAAUUCCUACACCAAAAAUCACUUGAAUGUGUAUAUUAAAUUCCACUAAAACACAAAUAAAAAUAUGAACAGCUAAAAUACACAUCACAUGCCAUAAGUACAUGAAAAUAAUUUUGUUUAGAAGAGAGUAAGGUUGGAUCCACAAACACCUAAAAUACAGAAUAUAAAGUCACCCACGAGCUAGAUUACACAACCUCAGAUCUGGUGAUACUUAAGAUAACAUAUACUUAAGACAAUGAAAAUUACAAUAUUAAUCAACUUCAAAUUAGGGUUGAUUGGUUGUAAAUGCACAAAUUAUUAUUAUAUUUUUAUUUCUUUAUGUGAUUAAAAAUAAAACACUCAAAUUUUGAAAGUGUUUCAAACUCACCUCGUAUGUAUUACUAUAAAUUACCUAUGUACUUUCAGUCGAAUAAUUAACACCACGAUCAGAUUAUUGUAAGCUCAAACUCAAAAUAUUUAACCUUAUGCAUUCAUAUUUUUAUGAUUAAUCCAAGACGCGCACCCUAAUAUCCCAAUGUUGGAUUUUAAUACCGAAGAUUGCUGGUAAAUUACCUCAAAGUUGCUGCCUGACACACUAAAUAUAUUUUGACAAGGAGUUUGAUCCCGGUGCUAAAUUUUGAAUUCUGGCUAAGUUUCAAACACUUUCAAAAAUUUAUUAUUUUUUUUGUUAAGUAUUUUAUCUCGUGAAAAGUCAAAAUUCGAUAAUAACUUGUACAUUUACGUACAGAUGAUCAAUAUCACUUUAAAUUUUAAGCUAUUUAUUCACUAUUAAUUAUAUUUUAAACUAUUAACUUUUUAAUUUUAAAUUAUUAAUUUUGUAUCAAUUUUUUACUCCAAAAAUUUGACGCGACUAGUCGGAUAAUGUAUUUAAAAUUAUUCUUUUUUUUAACGUACAUGACAUCAUUAUAUGCCUUACUAAUUUAAAAUUCAAAGGGUUAAAAGUGGAUGUAAAAUUAAUACAAAAUUGAUAGUUUGAGAUUUUAAAAGAUGUUUUCGAUAAUUUAGGAUAUAAUUAAUAGUGUGAAAAUAGUUUGAAAUUUAAAGUGAUAUUAUUCCUUAAUUAAUUCAUUAUUACAGAUAUAAUGGGUCCACAAAAUUUUGUAAGAUAAAUAAUUGUUUAUUAUUCAAUAGGUAGAUUAAUUAAGAUUCCCGGCGUCAUUAGUUUCUAUUAUAUAAUUUAUACUAAUAGAAAAAGUGCAUUGGACACAAAAUGUAGGUGAUCUAUUUUAUCCCUUCUACAUAUUUUAUUUUAAGAUUAAUUUUAUAAAUUAAAUCUUAUUAUAUAUUUAUAAAAAUAUACUAUUAAUUUAUUAGUCGUUACACUAAAUAUGUUUAGUAUGGUUUAGAUUAGGAGUAAUUUAAUGGAAAAUUUGGGCGAUGCUAUAUUAUAGAAUUAAUACUAUUUGUAUUAAUACAAGACUUGUUAUUUGUAUUAAAUAUUAUAUGAGUUUAGAUUAGGAGUAAUCUAAUAGAAAACUUUGGCAAUGCUAUAUUAAAGGAUUAAUACUAUUUGUCGGCUCAUACAAAAAAUGAACGAACCGACCUAAGAAAUCUAUUUGUUUGUUUGUUUUUUGCAUUGUCAUAAUAUCAAUUUUUAUUAUUGUGAUUUUUUUUUAAAUUCAGUUCAAAUAUAUUCAAUUAAAAUUAUUUUUUAUUAUAUUUAUAAAUAUAAUAAUUGAGUUGAUAUCAAUUUUAUAUAAAUAUAGAAAUAUAAUAACGUUUCCGGCGCAGUAUAGAAAAAGUUCCUUAGGCACAAAAUGUAGAUUGUCAAUUUUAUCCUUACUACUACGUAUUUUAUUUUAAGGUUAAUUUUGUAAAUUACAUAUUACUAUAUAUUUAUAAGAAUAUGUUAAUUUAAUAAUUAUUACACUAAAUGUAUUUUAUAUAUAUAGUUUAGAUUAGGAGUAAUAUAAUAGAACAUUUGGGCGAUGCUAUAUUAUAGGAUUAAUACUAGCUAUUUGUAUUAAUACAAGACAUGUUAUUUGUAUUAAAUAUUAUAUGAGUUUAGAUCUAAGAGCAAUCUAAUAGAAAAUUUAGGCGAUGCUAUAUUAAAAGAAUAUUAAUAGUGUUUUCAAUAAAAUAUACUCCAUAAAAAUAUAUAAAAUUUGUAGAUAGAUCAAGAUUCCCGGCACCGUUAAUAUAUAAUAAAAAGUCAAUCCAAUAUGUCAGAAUAUUAUUUUUCUUGCAAUCGAGUCCAAGUGAGUGUCAUCCGAUAGCGGCAUAUCCGAAUUCUAAAUUGUUAUUAUUAGAGCCAAACAAAAAUAGUCAGUCAAUAUGCAUUCAUUUAUUAUUAUUAUCAGCUGCCAGUGUUGAAUAUCAACAAACUCACUCAUAUUUUACUCACACAAUUCUAACUAGUUUAUUUACGCAUAUAUAUAAAAAGGCCAACUCCCACUAAGAGUGUACAGACAGCCACCAAACUUGAAGAAGAGAGAAAAAAUGGAUUCCUCUCCUCUCCUCGCCGCGCUCUUCUUCAUCGCCGCGACGAUAAUAUUCCUCUCCUUCCGGCGCCGGAGGAACCUCCCUCCGGGGCCGUUCCCCUACCCGAUCGUCGGAAACAUGCUGCAACUCGGCGCCAACCCUCACCAGGUGUUCGCGAAGCUCUCAAAGAGAUACGGCCCGCUGAUGUCGAUCCAUCUCGGCAGCCUCUACACCGUGAUCGUCUCCUCCCCGGAGAUGGCGAAGGAGAUCCUCCACAGGCACGGGCAGGUCUUCUCCGGCCGCACCAUCGCGCAGGCGGUGCACGCGUGCGACCACGACAAGAUCUCCAUGGGGUUCCUCCCCGUGGCCAGCGAGUGGCGCGACAUGCGCAAGAUAUGCAAGGAGCAGAUGUUCUCCAACCAGAGCAUGGAGGCCAGCCAGGGCCUCCGCCGCCAGAAGCUGCAGCAGCUGCUCGACCACGUCCAGAAAUGCUCCGACAGCGGCCGCGCGGUCGACAUCCGCGAGGCCGCCUUCAUCACCACGCUCAACCUCAUGUCGGCCACGCUCUUCUCCUCGCAGGCCACCGAGUUCGACUCCAAGGCCACCAUGGAGUUCAAGGAGAUCAUCGAGGGCGUCGCCACCAUCGUCGGCGUGCCCAACUUCGCCGACUACUUCCCCAUCCUCCGCCCCUUCGACCCGCAGGGGUCAAGCGCAGGGCGGAUGUUUUCUUCGGCAAAUUGCUCGCCAAAAUCGAAGGGUAUCUCAAGAGAGGCUCGAAUCGAAGAGGGCCAAUCCCAAUGCGCCAAAGAAGGAUGACUUUUUGGAGAUAGUGGUGGAUAUUAUUCAAGCCAACGAGUUCAAGUUGAAGACGCAUCACUUCACCCAUCUCAUGCUGGUAAAUACUUCAUCAUAUUUUUGGAAUAAUUUUAUUGUGUUAAACAUAUUUUAUGUUUCCAACUUUUGUCGUUUCUUUCAAAAUAUUCUCAAUUGUCGUUUUCUAUUAAAUAUCCACAACAUUUAGACGAUAGAAGGAUGAGUCAUCUUAUCAGAUUCUUAAUUAGAUAAAGUUUUGUUUUUUCAACUUCAACCAAUAAAACAACGUUGCCAAAUUUUGUAUAUUGUGAUAAUUUUUAGAAAAUUAACGUUGAAAGUUUAGGGUUUUUGAAUAGAAAAUGAAAAUUGGGGACUUUUUUUUAAAUUUCAUUGAAAGCCGAAACACAUAAUAUGAUUAAUUAAUCUCAAUUUUAUCUCAUGAGAAAAAUCAGAAAAUCGAAAAUUUAUGUAUUUACUCCACUAAUAGCGCUCUACUCGUAUUUUAUUAAAAUUCGUGUUAUUUAUAUAAUGUAACAAUUUUUUUAAUAUAUUCUAAAUUUCUAAGUUUAGUUGCGAAACUAGAUUUUGGUCAAACUUGGUGUAUUUACCGACUUUUUUCUACGAUCAGGACUUGUUCGUGGGAGGAUCGGACACGAACACGACCUCGAUCGAGUGGGCCAUGUCGGAGCUAGUGAUGAACCCGGACAAGAUGGCUCGACUGAAGGCGGAGCUGAAGAGCGUGGCCGGAGACGAGAAGAUCGUGGAUGAGUCGGCGAUGCCGAAGCUGCCGUACCUGCAAGCGGUGAUAAAGGAGGUGAUGCGGAUCCACCCGCCGGGCCCACUGCUCCUCCCUCGCAAAGCCGAGAGCGAUCAGGAGGUGAACGGCUUUAUCAUCCCCAAGGGAA